AGUAGCUCAAAUGGUAGAGCACCUGCUUAGCAAGCACGAGACCCUGAGUUCAAACCCUAGUACUG
rnacentral:tRNA from 1 species